CCUACGGGAGGCAGCAGUGGGGAAUAUUGGACAAUGGGCGCAAGCCUGAUCCAGCCAUGCCGCGUGUGUGAAGAAGGCUUUCGGGUUGUAAAGCACUUUCAGUGGGGAAGAAGGCCUGUCGGCUAAUACCCGGCAGGGACGACAUCACCCACAGAAGAAGCACCGGCUAACUCCGUGCCAGCAGCCGCGGUAAUACGGAGGGUGCAAGCGUUAAUCGGAAUUACUGGGCGUAAAGCGCGCGUAGGUGGCUUGAUAAGCCGGUUGUGAAAGCCCCGGGCUCAACCUGGGAACGGCAUCCGGAACUGUCGGGCUAGAGUGCAGGAGAGGAAGGUGGAAUUCCCGGUGUAGCGGUGAAAUGCGUAGAGAUCGGGAGGAAUACCAGUGGCGAAGGCGGCCUUCUGGACUGACACUGACACUGAGGUGCGAAAGCGUGGGUAGCAAACAGGAUUAGAUACCCCGGUAGUCCACGCCGUAAACGAUGUCGACUAGCCGUUGGGUUCCUUGAGAACUUAGUGGCGCAGUUAACGCGAUAAGUCGACCGCCUGGGGAGUACGGCCGCAAGGUUAAAACUCAAAUGAAUUGACGGGGGCCCGCACAAGCGGUGGAGCAUGUGGUUUAAUUCGAUGCAACGCGAAGAACCUUAC
rnacentral:rRNA from 1 species